GCCCACUUCGCCAUUUUCCUCCGGAAGUGCGGAUCCCAGCGGCGGUCGUGUAGCUGAGCAGGCCUGGGGCUUGGUUCUAUGUCCCUGUAGCUAUGUUUCCAGUGUCCUCUGGGUGUUUCCAAGAGCAACAAGAAACGAAUAAAUCUCUGCCCCGCAGCGCCUCCACCCCAGAGACCCGGACCAAGUUCACACAGGACAAUCUGUGCCACGCCCAGCGCGAGCGCCUGGACUCGGCCAACCUGUGGGUGCUGGUGGACUGCAUCCUUCGCGACACCUCCGAGGACCUGGGACUCCAGUGUGACGCCGUGAACCUGGCCUUCGGGCGCCGCUGUGAGGAACUGGAGGACGCGCGGCACAAGCUGCAGCACCACCUGCACAAGCCCCAGCUCACACCCCCCAACACCCCCAAGCUGGUGAGUGAGGUGGAGGAGCUGUACAAGUCCAUCACAGCGCUGCGGGAGAAGCUUCUACAAGCGGAGCAGUCCCUGCGCAACCUCAAGGACAUCCACAUGAGCCUGGAGAAGGACGUCACUGCCAUGACCAACAGUCUCUUCAUCGACCGCCAGAAGUGCAUGGCCCAUCGUACUUGCUACCCCACCAUUCUGCAGCUGGCUGGCUACCAGUGAGCAGCGGCACGGUGCUUCCCCCCAAUCCCCCAAAUAAACAGUGCGUUAGCUUUCUGCA
ensembl:lncRNA TEKT4P2 tektin 4 pseudogene 2